GGAUGUCUUAAGUACUUGAACUUCUCAAUUAUAACAGUCCUCUCAGUAUUGGUUGGUUUUAUGUUCUUCCAGCUUCAGUAUCUCAGCUACCGAAUAAGCAGUCUAGGUUAUCAACUUGAUAG
rnacentral:sRNA from 1 species